AUUUAACGCUAGCGGCAGGCUUAACCCAUGCAAGUCGAACGAGUGGCGUACGGGUGAGUGAUAUCUGGGAACGUGCCUCCUUGCGGGGGAUAACUACUCGAAACGGUGGCUAAUACCGCAUACUAUUGGAUGGGCCCAUAUUGGAUUAGCUAGUUGGUGGGGUAACGUCUCACCAAGGCCACGAUCCCUAGCUGGUUUGUGAGGAUGACCAGCCACACGUGAACUGAGCCACGGUCCAGACUCCUCCGGGAGGCAGCAGUGGGGAAUAUUGUAAAAUGGGCGCAACCCGGAUGCAGCCAUGCCGCGUGUAUGAAGAAGGCCUUCGGGUUUUAAAGUACUUUUGGCUGGGAAGCGGUACCCGCAGAAUAAGCACCGGCUAACUCCGUGCCAGCAGCCGCGGUAAUUC
rnacentral:rRNA from 1 species